GAUGAAGAACGCAGCGAAAUGCGAUAAGUAGUGUGAAUUGCAGAAUUCAGUGAAUCAUCGAAUCUUUGAACGCACAUUGCGCCCCUUGGUAUUCCAUGGGGCAUGCCUGUUCGAGCGUCAUUUGUACCUUCAAGCUCUGCUUGGUGUUGGGUGUUUUGUCUCGCCUCUGCGUGUAGACUCGCCUUAAAACAAUUGGCAGCCGGCGUAUUGAUUUCGGAGCGCAGUACAUCUCGCGCUUUGCACUCAUAACGGCGACGUCCAAAAGUACAUUUUUACACUCUUGACCUCGGAUCAGGUAGGGAUACCCGCUGCACUUAAGCAUAUCAAUAAGCGGAGGA
rnacentral:misc_RNA from 1 species